GCCCUCUCAAGAUCAUACCUGGAGAGUUUCCAAUACUCUACUGGUCUUGGCUAUGGAAGGGAGAAUCAAGAAGAGGUCUACUCAUUCCAUUCUUAGCUUGGGCAGUGGCUAUUGAGUGGAAGACAAUCUACUACAAGU